UAUUGCAGAACGGACUUGAUACUAAGGUUGAAAAGUCUAGGAAGCAAAUGAAGGAAAGAAAGAACAGAUCAAAGAAGAUUCGUGGAGUAAAGAAGACCAAGGCUGGCGAUGCUGCCAAAGGGUGGAAAGAAGAAAUAAGUUUUCAUCCAUUUUGUUAUGAUAUUAAAGGUUGUUUUGUUUUUGGUAUUUUCUUAAGGCUAUUCUAUAGUCUUGUAGCUUUCUAGAAUGGAGGAUUUUGCUGUAAUUGUCUUUCGUACUUUGUUGUUCACUACUUAUAUGUUUGAGACUGAGUACCAGCAGUGACCAAUUUUUUGAGAA